rnacentral:rRNA from 1 species
AUGAACGCUGGCGGCGUGCUUAACACAUGCAAGUCGAACGGAAAGGCUCCUGCUUGCAGGGGUACUCGAGUGGCGAACGGGUGAGUAACACGUGGGUGAUCUGCCCAGCACUUCGGGAUAAGCCUGGGAAACUGGGUCUAAUACCGGAUAGGACGAUGGUUUGGAUGCCAUUGUGGAAAGUUUUUUCGGUGUGGGAUGAGCUCGCGGCCUAUCAGCUUGUUGGUGGGGUAAUGGCCUACCAAGGCGUCGACGGGUAGCCGGCCUGAGAGGGUGUACGGCCACAUUGGGACUGAGAUACGGCCCAGACUCCUACGGGAGGCAGCAGUGGGGAAUAUUGCACAAUGGGCGCAAGCCUGAUGCAGCGACGCCGCGUGGGGGAUGACGGCCUUCGGGUUGUAAACCCCUUUCGCUAGGGACGAAGCGCAAGUGACGGUACCUGGAGAAGAAGCACCGGCUAACUACGUG